UAAAACAUCUUUCUUAUUUAAAGUUGUUCUUUCUCGAUUUCUAGAACAAUUCAGAACAAUUCUUCCCUUCCUUCUACAUGAUGGCUGUGCAGAUAUUUGAAGAUAACUAAGUCUUCUCCAUGAAGUAAGGCAUAUAAUAUCCAGACUAUUUCAAAAGCCAAAAUUGGAAAUGAGCUCAAAAGAUGGAAAUCAAAGAAUGCAUGUGGGGUGUCAUCACUAACCAAAAAAAGAUGAGGCUAAGAAAGUAUGAAAUUAUGCAGGACUGGAAAAUAAUAAGGUGCUGGAUUCUUCUUAAAUGAUUUCCUAUAUUUAAGAAAUAACUGCAAAUGAAAAAAAAACACAGAAGAAAACUGCAAAUGAAAAAACUGCAAAUGAAAACAACAACAACACAGAAGUUAUAGAAGUUAUAACUCUUCUCCCUGAUGAGUUAGUCCUUUAUUUGAAAAAAAGGGAAGUAGUAGUUAUGGGAAAGGUGUUAAAAUGGAAAGAAGAAAAGAAAGAAGGAAGGAAGGAAAGAAAAAGAAAGAAAGAAUGAGUCUACUCUCUAAUCAUCUUUUCUGCAGCCUGUAUCAAAUGAAAACAACACUUGUCUCUUGUGAUUGGUGCUUACCAACUAAUUCCCAGAAUUCUCAUCAAGGGCUAUGCUGGCUAUAGAAUGUGGGGAAUUGAAAUUCCAACACCUGGAAAUUGUCUUUUGGUAAAAAUGUCUUUUAUCUUGUAAUGUCUUUAUCAUUGCACUUGUUACUUAUUUCUAGAUAAAUGAGUACUUUGUCAUUUCAUUCUGUUUCCUUAACUUAUUUUCAUGCUACCUGUUCAUUCUCCAUAUUUGUCAGUCCUUUUAUCUCACAAAACACAGCCAUAUUCCAGAAGAGGUAGCACUUGCUAAGAAUCUCCAUGAAGAAAAAAGAUGGCUUGUAUAUGUAAAAGAC